rnacentral:rRNA from 1 species
UGGGGAAUUUUGGACAAUGGGCGCAAGCCUGAUCCAGCCAUUCCGCGUGAGUGAAGAAGGCCUUCGGGUUGUAAAGCUCUUUCGCAAGGGAAGAAAGAUUACUCUCUAACAUAGAGUGAUUAUGACGGUACCUUGAUAAGAAGCACCGGCUAACUACGUGCCAGCAGCCGCGGUAAUACGUAGGGUGCGAGCGUUAAUCGGAAUUACUGGGCGUAAAGCGUGCGCAGGCUGUUUUGUAAGUCAGAUGUGAAAUCCCUGAGCUCAACUUAGGAACUGCGUUUGAAACUACAAGACUAGAAUAUGUCAGAGGGGGGUAGAAUUCCACGUGUAGCAGUGAAAUGCGUAGAGAUGUGGAGGAAUACCAAUGGCGAAGGCAGCCCCCUGGGAUAAUAUUGACGCUCAUGCACGAAAGCGUGGGGAGCAAACAGG